GAUGAACGCUGGCGGCGUGCUUAACACAUGCAAGUCGAACGAUGAAGCCCAGCUUGCUGGGUGGAUUAGUGGCGAACGGGUGAGUAACACGUGAGUAACCUGCCCUUAACUCUGGGAUAAGCCUGGGAAACUGGGUCUAAUACCGGAUAGGAGCGUCCACCGCAUGGUGGGUGUUGGAAAGAUUUAUCGGUUUUGGAUGGACUCGCGGCCUAUCAGCUUGUUGGUGAGGUAAUGGCUCACCAAGGCGACGACGGGUAGCCGGCCUGAGAGGGUGACCGGCCACACUGGGACUGAGACGCGGCCCAGACUCCUACGGGAGGCAGCAGUGGGGAAUAUUGCACAAUGGGCGCAAGCCUGAUGCAGCGACGCCGCGUGAGGGAUGACGGCCUUCGGGUUGUAAACCUCUUUCAGUAGGGAAGAAGCGAAAGUGACGGUACCUGCAGAAGAAGCACCGGCUAACUACGU
rnacentral:rRNA from 1 species